rnacentral:rRNA from 1 species
CCUACGGGAGGCAGCAGUGGGGAAUAUUGCACAAUGGGGGAAACCCUGAUGCAGCAACGCCGCGUGAGUGAAGAAGUAUUUCGGUAUGUAAAGCUCUAUCAGCAGGGAAGAGAAUGACGGUACCUGACUAAGAAACCCCGGCCAACUCCGUGCCAGCAGCCGCGGGCAUACUGAGGGGGCGAGCGUUAUCCGGAUUUACUGGGUGUAAAGGGAGCGUAGACGGUUGGUCAAGUCUGAAGUGAAAGCCCGGGGCUUAACCCUGGAAGGGCGUUGGAAACUGAGCGGCUAGAGUGCUGGAGAGGAAAGCGGAAUGCCGAGUGUAGCGGUGAAAUGCGUAGAGAUAAGGAGGAACACCAGUGGCGAAGGCGGCUUACUGGACAGUAACUGACGUUGAGGCGCGAAAGCGUGGGGAGCAAACAGGAUUAGAUACCCGGGUAGUC